GACGAACGCUGGCGGCGUGCCUAAUACAUGCAAGUAGAACGCUGAAGGAGGAGCUUGCUUCUCUGGAUGAGUUGCGAACGGGUGAGUAACGCGUAGGUAACCUGCCUGGUAGCGGGGGAUAACUAUUGGAAACGAUAGCUAAUACCGCAUAAUAGUAGAUGUUGCAUGACAUUUGCUUAAAAGGUGCAAUUGCAUCACUACCAGAUGGACCUGCGUUGUAUUAGCUAGUUGGUGAGGUAACGGCUCACCAAGGCAACGAUACAUAGCCGACCUGAGAGGGUGAUCGGCCACACUGGGACUGAGACACGGCCCAGACUCCUACGGGAGGCAGCAGUAGGGAAUCUUCGGCAAUGGACGGAAGUCUGACCGAGCAACGCCGCGUGAGUGAAGAAGGUAUUCGGAUCGUAAAGAUCUGUUGUAAGAGAAGAACGAGUGUGAGAGUGGAAAGUUCACACUGUGACGGUAUCUUAACAGAAAGGGACGGCUAACUACGUG
rnacentral:rRNA from 1 species